ACUAACACGAAAUUCAGAGUGACUGAGAAACGUAGAGAGAAAUGGAGACAAAAACAAAACAAAGCAUAGAGCAAUUCAAAGGACAAACAAGGCUACCAAAAUUUGCAAUCCCAACAAGUUAUGAUCUUUAUCUCAAACUUGAUCUCACAGCAUGCACUUUUUCUGGUACAGUACAAGUCAACCUUAACAUCAUCGAACACACUAAGUUCCUUGUCCUAAAUGUUCUCGAACUUGAUGUACAUCAAGUCUGGUUCACCAACUCCAAUCACCAAACAUAUAAGCCUUGUGAUGUUGUUGUUUUGGAUGGUGAAGAUGAGAUACUGGUGCUGGGGUUUGAUGAAGUGCUUAGUGUUGGUGAUGGGGUUUUGGGGAUUGAGUUUUCUGGAUCCCUUAACCCACACUUGAAGGGUCUCUAUAAAUGUUGCUUAAAUCACUUAUUUAACUCUGUGACUUCUUAUUUGAAACAGAAAUCCUUAAGUUUAUACAUAAAAAGAUAUGCUGGGAAAAAUGCAAAGACAGAAGAUUUAUGGUGCGUUCUUUCAGAGGAAUCUGGUCUUCAAAUCAACUCAAUGAUGGAUGAUUGGACGAAGAAAAAUGGAUAUCCAGUUAUCUCUGUAAAAUCCAAAGAUGAUAUUUUGGAAUUUGAACAGUCACAAUUCUUGUCGUCUGGUUUGUGUGGUGAUGGACUAUGGAUUGUUCCAAUAACGGUAUCCAUUGGCUCAUACAUCAAAUGCAAGACUUUCCUUUUGGAAAAAAAAGUCUCAAAAACUGGAUAUAUCUGAACUGGUUCAUUCUCCCCACCAAAACAAAAGCACAUUUAACGAAAAGAAUGAAGAGAAAUGUGAUGAACAUUUCUGGGUCAAAGUUAAUAUUGAGCAGAGUGGUUUCUACAGGGUAAAAUAUGAAGAUAAGCUUGCAGCUCGACUGAGGAAAGCCAUAGAGAGUAAUUGCUUGUCAGCAACAGAUAAAUUUGGCGUUUUGGAUGACACAUAUGCUCUUUGUGUGGCUUGCGAGCAACCACUGUCGUCAUUGCUUUCCUUGAUGGAUGUAUACAGAAAAGAGCUUGAUUUUAUUGUGUUAUCGAAACUCAUUAAUGUAUGUUAUAAAGUUUUUGAGAUCUCUGGUGAUGCUAUCCCAGAUUUAGUGAAUGACUUGAAACAAUUUUUCAUCAAUCUCCUUCUGUUUUCCUCAGAAAAAUCAGGAUGGGAAUCAAUACCUGGAGAGAGUCAUUUAAAUGCACUAUCGAGAGGAGAAGUCUUUCUGGCCUUGGUUACUUUUGGCCAUGAUAAAACUAAGAAAGAAGCAGUCCAGAGGUUUCAGGCAUUACUGAAUGAUCAAAAUACUCCUCUUCUGUCAGCUGACACUAGAAAGGCUGCUUACAUUGCUGUAUUGCUGAACACUAGCACCACGAAUAGGAAUGGGUUUGAGUCCUUACUGAAGCUCUAUAGAGAAGCAGAUACAGUGCAAGAGAAAGAACCACUUUUACGUUGUAUUGCAUCGUGUCCAGACCCAAAUAUAGUUCUUGAGGCUCUGAAUUUUAUGUUGUCUGAGGAGGUUCGAGAUCAAGAUAUUCUUUAUGUGCUUGCUGGACUAAGAUCUGAAGGGCGUGAGGUAGCGUGGAGAUGGUUGAAGGAGAAUUGGGACUUGAUCUUUAGCAAAUAUGGUGCAAUUCUACUCCACCAGUUCAUUACCUACAUUCUCACUUUGUUUUGCAGCAAUGAAAAGGCUGAGGAGAUAGAAGAAUUUUUUGUCAGCCGAGUGCAUCCUUCUUUUACUAGGAAUUUGAAGCAAAGCAUCGAGGAAAUCCGACUCAAAGCAAGGUGGAUUGAGAACAUAAGGCAGGAGCAAUCUCUACUAGAACUAGUCAAACAAUUGGCUCUCAAGAAAUGAAAGCCUUCAAUUUGAUUCCAAAACUAUAUUGUGAUUAUGUUAAGACUGAUGAGCUACAUACACUGCAUACUCCACAAAUUGUGUUCUAUAUGUAUGGUGUAUUGGUGUUAUUCAAGUCAACUUAAUAUACCAUGAACAGGUUCCAACCUGGCAUCAUUAUCCUAAGGCAAGUCAGUUGAGUCAGACCAGCAAAUCAACUGGAUUAUAUAUAUUCUCAAGUUCCUUUUCAAUAUUCCUACUAGCCACUAGGACAGCCAUACCUAGUCUUAAUUUAUUUGGUCAGGCGGAAAGUGGUUUAUUAGAGCCCUCAUACAAAGUGCACGACCCCAAACGCCUUUGCUUAGUUUAUUAUAAGCUGAACACCUAAAACAAAAAGUUAAAAUCGUCUAUAAAAUAUCUUUACUUCUUUCAUUACUUUUAUAAACUAUUGUCAUGACCUUACUUGAACAGGAAGUGUUCUAUAUCAACUAUCUGUCAGAUGCCAACAUAGGGCCAUUCCAUAGCCCAAUCUCUCUCCCCUUGAAGUUGUCUAAAUACAAAAGUAGCAUUACUUCUGCAUUACUACUUACCUGUCAUAUGCUUAGAGUCCCCAUUCCCUUGACUACUCCCUCUCAUAUGUAGAAUCUCGCACAGAAAGAAAGGUAAAAUCCAAAUGUAAACACGUGUUCCUGUCCAUUUUUAAUAAAAAAGGCCAAAGACCGCAGCUUUUGAAUAAACACAAAAUCUGACAACCUUAAUGCCCAAAGCAUACCUUAUCAUACAUCUCUGUAAAUUUCUUUAACAAAUACAAUUGGAAUUUGGAAAACCGCAUACAAAAAGAAUUAACAAAAAAAAGAAAAAUAUCCCAAAUACAUUAAACUUCCUCUGUAACUAUAUAUGUAACAUGUAUAAUCAGAUUUUAUGUGUAUGUCAGAACAGCUCACUUUUAACAAAACCUUCAAAACAGAAAGUCAAGACUGAGAAAAAAAAUCAAAAAAUGACCAAAAAAGGAAAAAAAAAA